UAAUACUGUGGUCCUCCUUCUAUCCUACCAUUUAUAAUUAUUCUCCAUCAUCUUUUUCUUUAAGCUUAAAAUUAUUUAUUAAAUUAUUAUGAUACCAUGAACCUAUCACAUCAUUCCUUUCCCUCACUCUUUGAUUCCUAAAUCUAUGAUAGAUCAAGGUGUGGAUGUGUGAAAGGUUUGUUUACUUGGCGCGCUAAGAACCUUUCAUGUGGUUUGAUGGCGGUGGAAGCGUUAUUGGCCAUAUUGUUAAAGUUGAAUGGAAGCAAACAUUGCUAAAGUUAUUACCUUUAUUGAUUAUGUGUGAUGUUGGGUACGUAUUAGUAUAUUGAAACGAAUAUGUUUGCUUUUUUCGGUAUUUAUGCAACGUAUCUUUUAAACGUGGAUUAAAUAGGGCCGUCCCGAUCUCAGCCUGCGUCGCAUGUCUCCUAAACGUUGAUUGAUCAUCCUGGACAGAGUUUUAACUUAUUAGGUAGAGGAAGAGGACCACCUAGUUUUCAGGCCAUACUGCUGCUUGAUUGCUUUGAUUGACAACCAUGACACUCUCAAUUGGGAGGGGGUUGGGGUAGGCAACUUGUCCUCUAAUUUGUUAUAAUUCAAUCUAUUUUACAUUUUUCAUUUAUGCUUUCACAAUGAUCCAGUACAAUUAUUUUCUUCCCUAUUCAUCAUACUCAUUUUAAUUUAA